CGGUGUUUAACUGGCGUGAUGUGGGACGUCCUACCGGUGGGCUUAGCCUCGCGAGGGGCGGCCCAACUAAUAUCCCGUCGCGGUGCUCUUUACUGAGUGUCGAGUCGGGCCGGUACGUUUACUUUGAACAAAUUAGAGUGCUUAAAGCAGGCUAUCCUCGCCUGAAUACUGCGUGCAUGGAAUAAUGGAAUAGGACCUCGGUUCUAUUUUGUUGGUUUUCGGAACCCCGAGGUAAUGAUUAAUAGGGACAGAUGGGGGCAUUCGUAUUGCGACGUUAGAGGUGAAAUUCUUUGGAUCGUCGCAAGACGGACAGAAGCGAAAGCAUUUGCCAAAAAUGUUUUCAUUAAUCAAGAACGAAAGUUAGAGGUUCGAAGGCGAUCAGAUACCGCCCUAGUUCUAACCAUAAACGAUGCCAGCUAGCGAUCCGCCGAAGUUCCUCCGAUGACUCGGCGGGCAGCUUCCGGGAAACCAAAGCUUUUGGGUUCCGGGGGAAGUAUGGUUGCAAAGCUGAAACUUAAAGGAAUUGACGGAAGGGCACCACCAGGAGUGGAGCCUGCGGCUUAAUUUGACUCAACACGGGAAACCUCACCAGGCCCAGACACCGGAAGGAUUGACAGAUUGAUAGCUCUUUCUUGAUUCGGUGGGUGGUGGUGCAUGGCCGUUCUUAGUUGGUGGAGCGAUUUGUCUGGUUAAUUCCGAUAACGAACGAGACUCUAGCCUGCUAAAUAGGCGUACCUUAUGGUAUCGCGAAGGCCCCCGGCUUCGGCCGGUGGGUUUUUACUACCAACGUACAAACAAAUCUUCUUAGAGGGACAGGCGG
rnacentral:rRNA from 1 species